UACGUAGGGUGCAGGCGUUAAUCGGAAUUACUGGGCGUAAAGCGUGCGCAGGCGGCUUCUUAAGUCAGAUGUGAAAGCCCCGGGCUUAACCUGGGGACUGCGUUUGAAACUGGGAGACUUGAGUGUGGCAGAGGGGGGUGGAAUUCCACGUGUAGCAGUGAAAUGCGUAGAUAUGUGGAGGAACACCGAUGGCGAAGGCAGCCCCCUGGGUUAACACUGACGCUCAUGCACGAAAGCGUGGGGAGCAAACAGG
rnacentral:rRNA from 1 species